GGUACUUGCGGUUGCGGUAGAGCUGCAUGUUCGUUUAGUUGCCGCAGCUACCUGCGGUAAGACGCUGCGUUCGGCGGCGAUAAUUUUUGGACGCUGAUUAAAUUCAGCGUCGAUGACUAAAAAGCUGCAUUAUAUGUGGUAAAUGACACAAAUACCCUUAUUAUUUUUGAGAAAUCACAAACAAACCAAGCGAUUCUCUUCUUCGAUUCCUCUGUCACUUCUCUUCUCUCAUCGACGAAUUGGUUUCUCCUCAGAUUUCUCCUAAAGUGUCCCCUCUUACUUGCAUCAGGGAACAAUACAAUCUCUAGCUACAUGGUUUAGAAUCGUUCUUCACUUUGCAGAACCAAAAGGUACCAAACUGUGAGCUUCUCUUAGUUAUAUUCUUUACUAACAUUAAGUUACAUUUAUGAGAAGAGACAAGCUGCACAAAUUAAGACCUAUACUUGUUGGAGUCUCUGCGGAUCUUCUUGUUUGCCAUAAAGUCUUUGCCAUUGACAAUCCUGUCGUUGCACUUCUUCAGGGUCAUGAGGAUUUAGUCAUGGAGUUUGCAAACGUUUUCAAGAGACCCACUGGUUCAUCAGGAUCAAAAUCUGAUAGAGAUAGAUGAGUACAUUAGAAGACUGUCUCUGCUUUAGUAUUGGAUGUUUGGAAUAUAAUGUUUGGAAUAAAAUUUUAUUUGUUGGGGACUUCUUUUACUAAUUACAUACCUAAAAUUAUGUAUAUUAUUUUCUCAAUUGGUUUGGAA